GCCGAGCUCAGCGACGACCGCGACGCGGAGGAGGGGAGCUUCGUCAUGCGGCGUUUUCCCCCCGAAACUGGGGUGUGGGAGAAGCUGGUGGGCUUGCCGUCCCCGCUUCCGCUCCCGCGGCGGAUGGACAUAUACCACGAGGUGCUUGCCUUCGCCGGACGGCUGUGGUGGGUUGAUCUGAGCUGGGGUGCCGUCUCCGCCGACCCGUUCAGCGACCGACCUGAGCUCAGCUUUGUCGAGCUUCCGAGUGCCAGCGUGCUGCCAGUGCCCAGCACCAUUGCAGAGUAUGAUGCGGCACGAGAGGUGCAGGGAGUGUACCGGCGCUUGGGGGUCAGCGAGGGGAGGCUGCGCUAUGUGGAGCUGUCCCAGAAGAUGCCUUUCCUGCUCAGCUCGUUUGUCCUUGAUGAAGAUGGCAGGAGCUGGACGCUGGAGCACCAAAUGGCACUUGGCGUACUCUGGGAGAAAAUAGACCCACCGCCUGAGGAGCACUACCCACGGAUUGGCGUUGUUGACCCAUUGAACUGAAGCUUGAUGUAUGUCACAAUCGGCAACCUUGCUUUGGCUGUUGACAUGGGCAGGGUGUUGGUCCGUGGGUCUUUAAUAGAUGAACUGGGAGCAGUUGCCAGCACCUUGUUCCUUAAACAAUGUGUGCUCCCACCGUGGCUUAGAUCGAGCAGGAUCCCUUCUGCAGGAACUCUUUCGAGCAACAAGGACAAUACAAGAAGCAAGACUUUGUCAGACAUACUGGUUCGUGCAGACAGAGACAAGAAGAAUUGAGGU